GCAGUCCGCACCGUGAACGCACUGACGGGGCAGGGCCGCGUCCGGCUACGCUGGCGGGGUGCGCCUUCCGACAGAGGGUCGCAAAGCCGACAGCCGUCGCAUCCCUGGGAGAUCAUCCAUG
rnacentral:sRNA from 1 species